AGAGCUGGAAAUAAAAUAUACACACACCUGAAGACAAGCUGAAACCUACAAAGACUGGACAGACCACACAUAAAGACUGUUUCCAUCAACUGGCACCAAUUUUUUUCAAUCAGUCAGACGGAGCAUAAACAUUAUGACUGGGAAAAGGCUCAAAAAGAAGAACAAAGAAAGAAAGAAGAAAAAAAAAAAACGUAUUGUUUGGGUGAGAUCCUGGACGGAGAGGCAUCGGUAACUACGGUAACUGGAGGAGGACCAGUGAGUUCACAGUGAGACCAGUGAGAAGAACAGGAAGCGUCCAGGGCUCGUCAGAGUCAAAGUGUGUGUCUCCUCCGAUGCCGGCGCCGGG